rnacentral:rRNA from 1 species
AGCGGCGGACGGGUGAGUAACGCGUGGGGAACCUGCCCUAUACAGGGGGAUAACAGUUAGAAAUGACUGCUAAUACCGCAUAAGCGCACGGAGCCGCAUGGCGCUGAGUGAAAAACGAUAGUGGUAUAGGAGGGGCCCGCGUCUGAUUAGGUAGUUGGUGGGGUAACGGCCCACCAAGCCGACGAUCAGUAGCCGACCUGAGAGGGUGACCGGCCACAUUGGGACUGAGACACGGCCCAAACUCCUACGGAAGGCAGCAG